AACGAACGCUGGCGGCAUGCCUAACACAUGCAAGUCGAACGAGACCUUCGGGUCUAGUGGCGCACGGGUGCGUAACGCGUGGGAAUCUGCCCUUCGGUUGGGAAUAACUGAGAGAAAUUUCAACUAAUACCUUAUAAUGUCUUCGGACCAAAGAUUUAUCGCCGAGGGAUGAGCCCGCGUAGGAUUAGGUAGUUGGUGGGGUAAUGGCCUACCAAGCCGACGAUCCUUAGCUGGUCUGAGAGGAUGAUCAGCCACACUGGGACUGAGACACGGCCCAGACUCCUACGGGAGGCAGCAGUGGGGAAUAUUGGACAAUGGGCGAAAGCCUGAUCCAGCAAUGCCGCGUGAGUGAUGAAGGCCUUAGGGUUGUAAAGCUCUUUUACCCGGGAUGAUAAUGACAGUACCGGGAGAAUAAGCUCCGGCUAACUCCGUG
rnacentral:rRNA from 1 species